CUCUGCCACCUUAACAAGAAAGAACCUUAAAUGUCAAUGUUUAAUGUAAACGUUCACGCACAUUUAUCCUCAAAAUUCAACGUAAAACGGGGUGGCAGUAGACGGAACGUUCAGUUUAAGCAAAAAACUAAAAACCUGCGCACAUACGUGGAAAGCAUCGUUGAAUACUCUAAGCUAACUUCAGAUAUUGAAACGACGCGAUACCUGGUUAAUGAAGCACGAGGAUAAAGAGACUCUCCGGGGGCGAAUGCUUUCUCUUCAAAAAAAAAGUGGGCAGUUACU